CCCUUAGAUGUUCUGGGCUGCACGCGUGCUACAAUGGCGUUUCCAGCAAGUCUGCGAACCCGAGAGGGCCAGCGGAUCUUCGAAUUGGCGUCGUGAUCGGGACAGUCGAUUGCAAUUAUUUGACCCAAACGAGGAAUUCCUUGUAAUCGCGAUUCAUCAUAUCGCGCUGAAUACGUCCCUGCCCUUUGUACACACCGCCCGUCGCUCCUACCGAUUGAGCGAUCCGGUAAAUGUUUUGGAUUGGUGCCGGGGCGGCUAGCUGCCGGUCGCUACGAAAUUUUGUGAACCUUAUCGCUUAGAGGAAGGAAAAGUCGUAACA
rnacentral:rRNA from 1 species